AUUCCAAUUGUUCAGUUUAGAUGUCUAAAUAUAGUUCUACCAUCUUCAAGCAGGGCACUCAGUAGUGAGAUCUUUGUCGGAGGCUCCAAAAUAUGCUUCUCUGAUUGCAAAGAUUUUGAAGCAGGAUUAUCCUAAGGCCAGUCUUAGCCGUCAAAUAAGAAAUCAGAAUAUCUCAAUGCAAGGCAAAGCCAUGGCCUUUUGCUGAGUGGAAGUUUUAUAGCAUUUUCUUUAUUUCGUGGCGCAUCAAUUUAUGCAGAACAGGCCAAGGAAUAUCAGAACAGGCCAA